GGUAUUACCAUUGAUGGUUUUCAUCUCCUCCUCUAAAAUGUAUUUUCUUCCAUGGUUGUUAUCUCCUCCUCCAAAAGAUGUACUUUUUCCAAGAUUUUAUUUGAGGCAUCAAGAUUAUGAAAAAUCAAACACAGUCAAAUAAAUUCCUUUGUAAUAUUUUCUCAUA